GAAUGGCGAGCGCGAGGCACAGCGAACGGUUCACUUCGCUCUUCGCGGGGGGAGGCGAACACCAUCUCUAUGGGAAAUAAUCUCGAUUAUAAACAAGGGGGACCCAGCCGCGAAAAGAUGAAUGGAUGGGGCCAGCGCGACGUCACAGCGAGUUGCAGCCAUGAAGCUCAAGACCAGGCGCGAGCCAACCUACAAGCGCUCAGUUGUUCUACAUCUCUUGACUCGCUCGGUUGAUUGUUGUGGAGAGCGUUUGUAACCGUGGCUGGCAGACACCGGGGUUUCAGUGGAGAGACAUAUAGGCGCAACAGAGCAGGUGGCAUAGUUCAGAAUCUGGCCUGUGCGUAUCACCUGUGGCACAAGAGGAUGGGCAGCCUUAGGGGUUGGUUGUUAUCUUUGGUUAUCUAGCUGUAUGAGUGAUGUACAUUCUUCAUAAAGCUAGAUAACCGAAAGUAACAAGAAUCCCAUUACGCUCCUGAAAGGCAUCAAGAUCCCCAACACAUAUCCCCCAUGCCGCACCACCCCAUUCUACCAUUCACAGCAAAACAAGCAACGAACAUGGCCGACAUCAUAGGACACGGGAGCAGAAGAAAAAGUCAAACUACCAACACCACCAUGACAGAAUGCUGGCAAAAUGAAGCUGAAAAACAGGGAGAGGAGGAGAGGUUGCUGUUGACUCUGACUCCCUCUUCUCGCCCUCCUCCGUAUCGCCUCUCCCCUCCUCCCCUCCCUCGCUUCAUCCUCAGCUGCAUUCCCCAUUCUCCUGUACCGCGAGACGCAGCCCACGCCACCAUCUUAGGACGACGCACGCUGGCAUGAAAUGGAAGUGAGGACCAUAGAGAGCAGGCAAAUAAUUGUCCAGAACACUGAAAGAGGGCAGAAAUGACAGCAAACAGUAAUCCAUUGGGAGAAGAGAAGUUGCCCACAAACUACCAACCCAUCCCUAGUAUUUGCAAUGGAACAGGCCCAUUACAACAAUGUUCACCCACUACACUCCGACUUGUGCCCUAACAUAUCCAACAAGGGCCAAUCAGGAUUGGUUUUCUUUCCUUUCAUUAAGCCAAUAAGAAAGUGGUGUGGUGGUGUGGAAAACAAGAGCAAAUAUCUCAGGAUCCAAGAUGAACAGAGAAGCACUGAUUCUUGGAUACACUGUGCUAUGAAUGAGAGACAUGGCAUGUGCAGUGUACCUACAGUAUUUGCUUGCAGCCUCAAUAACAUCUACACUGAGUGUCCAAAACAUUAAGAACACAUGCUCUUUCCAUGACAUAGACUGACCAGGUGAAUCCAGGUGAAUACUAUGAUCCCUUUAUGAUGUCACUUGUUAAAUCCACUUCAAUCAGUGUAGAUGAAGGGAAGGAGACAGGUUAAAGAAGGAUUUUUAAGCCUUGAGACAAUUGAGACGUGGAUUGUGUGUGUGCCAUUCAGAGGGUGAAUGGGCAAGACAAAAAAAUGUAAGUGCCUUUGAAUGGGGUAUGAUAAUAGGUACCAGGCACACCGGUUUGUGUCAAGAACUGCAACACUACUGGGUUUUUCACGCUCAACAGUUCCCCGUGUGUAUCAAGAAUGGUCCACCAGCCAAAGGACAUCCAGCCAACUUGACACAACGGUGGGAAGUAUUGGAGUCAACAUGGGCCAGCAUCCCUGUUGAAUGCUUUUCAACACCUUGUAGAGUCCACGCCCCGACGAGUUGAGGCUGCAACUCAAUAGUAGGAAGGUGUCCUUAAAUGUUUUGUACACUCAGUGUGUGUUACAUGUGAGGAAAUGUUCCUUGCAAUACAGAUUCUUAGGUGCAAACAUUUAUAUAAUAGCAUAGAGCACUUUACUACUACUACUACUACUACUACUACUACUACUUUAAUUUAAAGUAAAUAACAAUGUAUAAAUAGAGUCCAUGGUGUUUCAUGGGAAUGUUGUAUAACAAGCUGUAUAAAUAACAUAGACCUACCUAGAUCAUAUUGGUUAGAAUUUUUGCCCAUUUUUGUGUUUAUAUUUUAUUGCUUACUAGUUGCUAUGACUGACAGACACAUGAAUGUGAGACCCACGGCAGCAGUGAAGAAUACUGCACUGCAAUUGGACGGCUCCGUGUGUCAUAUGACACACAGGCGAAUGGGAGAGCUGUUGUCUUUAUACUCUAUGCAACUGUUUUUGGCCUGCUACCAAAUAUAUUGGGCAAGCCUUCAACUGAAUUAUUUUUGGGCGAACAAUCUCAUGAAAUAUUACACUGUUUGUUCAGUUUUCUCUCACCAUGUAGAUUUUUUUUUUUUUUGUGUGUGUGUGUGUGUUUGUGUGUGUGUGUGUGUGAAAGAGAGAGAGAGAGAGAGAACAUUAGAGAGAAAGUUAGACAUUACAGAUGAACAUAACACAUUUGAUUUAGAAAACAAAUUUUGGAGAGACAUUUUAGUUUGAAUUUUUCAAUAACAGAGUUGAAUAUGCUGGCCCUAAGCCUCUGCCAGCGCAAAUCAGUGUAGGAAUUACACAUCUAAUAUUCUUGAUGGCAGAGCUCUGUUUGAUCAGGAGUGCGGUUUAUAGGGAGUAAGCUAGGCUGCACGGACAGAACAUUCUAAACCACUAAAGCUUUCCAAGUAGGCUUUGAAUGCAGUAGCCUGGCUUUCCCUAGCAAAGCACGUCAGAGUAAUACAAGGUACUUUAGAGUAAGACAUGAUAAAUACAGAGAAUUCAAAGGCUUCCUUCAUUUCCUGUCCUUGACAUUAUCGCACAGACACACACACACACACACACACACACACACACACACACACACACACACACGCACACACACGCAAGCAAAUGCAAUGAUGCAAGCACUAUCAUAGACUAGUUUGUUUUAUAUACAUUUUCAGGAAGUGGCACAUUUCUAUUCCAAUUGAUAAUGUAUGCAAAUCUUUUAAUAUUCAUUUUAACAAUCUAUUCAGCGCUUGUGCAAUUGAGUUGAAGGAGACUAUCUUGGUCUGAUUUUGUAAAUGUAUUUUUUUGAUAAUUUUGAGCAUCACAAUGCUAUAUUAUUACAUCUGCCUGGAUAAGCUUGAAAUUGAAAAACAUUUUUAAUCCGUAACUAAAAGUCACUUGAGGGAUGGCUAAAACCAGUCUAUUCACAUACAAUCAACAAAUUGUGGUCGCUGAAAUGAUUAAAUAAUUAUAUGUUUCUUGUUUUGUUUUGCACCGAGAUGAAAUGUCUAUUCAGAUAUUUUUAAGCAACCGAUGUUGUUUGUGUUAUGCAAUCUAGUGUGUAUUAUGUAAUGCUAGAUUGCACUGAAUGAACCACGUGCCUUUGUAUGAAAAACAAACUGUGUCCUGUCAUGGAUUAGUAAUAAAAGUUUACAUUGAAAACAAACAGAAAA